rnacentral:lncRNA from 1 species
UCAAUCUGGUAUUUUUAAAAUUUAAAAGAAAAAUUGAAAAAGUGGCAAAAAAUAAAAUAACCUUUAGAAGAAAUAAUAUAUUAUUUAAUGCAUUAAGAAAUGAUAAAGAUCAUUGACAACAACAAAAAAAAUCAGGAGUAUAUCAAGUUCCUAAAAAUCAAUAUGGGCAGGGAUGAAGGUAUAUAUUGGGUGCAUUGCUGGAUCGAUACAAAAAAUAGUUAAGAAACAUAAAGUAGAUAUGAAUAUAGGACAACAGAAUGUUGUACUUGCACAAAGCAUUUUGAACUUUGGUGCCCAGGACAUAUGGAGCAACACAAAAUUAUUAAAGAUGACCCAAGACCUCAUAAGAGAAAAGCUUGCAGAGGCUUUUGAUAUUUUUAACAAUAAAAAGAAAAAUAUUGCUAAUAUAUA